rnacentral:rRNA from 1 species
CUGGAGGUAUCAGAAGUGCGAAUGCUGACAUAAGUAACGAUAAAGCGGGUGAAAAGCCCGCUCGCCGGAAGACCAAGGGUUCCUGUCCAACGUUAAUCGGGGCAGGGUGAGUCGACCCCUAAGGCGAGGCCGAAAGGCGUAGUCGAUGGGAAACGGGUUAAUAUUCCCGUACUUGGUGUUACUGCGAAGGGGGGACGGAGAAGGCUAUGUUGGCCGGGCGACGGUUGUCCCGGUUUAAGCGUGUAGGCUGGUUUUCCAGGCAAAUCCGGAAAAUCAAGGCUGAGGCGUGACGACGAGGCACUACGGUGCUGAAGCAACAAAUGCCCUGCUUCCAGGAAAAGCCUCUAAGCAUCAGGUAACAUCAAAUCGUACCCCAAACCGACACAGGUGGUCAGGUAGAGAAUACCAAGGCGCUUGAGAGAACUCGGGUGAAGGAACUAGGCAAAAUGGUGCCGUAACUUCGGGAGAAGGCACGCUGACACGUAGGUGAAGUGAUUUACUCAUGGAGCUGAAGUCAGUCGAAGAUACCAGCUGGCUGCAACUGUUUAUUAAAAACACAGCACUGUGCAAACACGAAAGUGGACGUAUACGGUGUGACGCCUGCCCGGUGCCGGAAGGUUAAUUGAUGGGGUCAGCGCAAGCGAAGCUCCUGAUCGAAGCCCCGGUAAACGGCGGCCGUAACUAUAACGGUCCUAAGGUAGCGAAAUUCCUUGUCGGGUAAGUUCCGACCUGCACGAAUGGCGUAAUGAUGGCCAGGCUGUCUCCACCCGAGACUCAGUGAAAUUGAACUCGCUGUGAAGAUGCAGUGUACCCGCGGCAAGACGGAAAGACCCCGUGAACCUUUACUAUAGCUUGACACUGAACAUUGAGCCUUGAUGUGUAGGAUAGGUGGGAGGCUUUGAAGUGUGGACGCCAGUCUGCAUGGAGCCGACCUUGAAAUACCACCCUUUAAUGUUUGAUGUUCUAACGUGGACCCGUGAUCCGGGUUGCGGACAGUGUCUGGUGGGUAGUUUGACUGGGGCGGUCUCCUCCUAAAGAGUAACGGAGGAGCACGAAGGUUGGCUAAUCCUGGUCGGACAUCAGGAGGUUAGUGCAAUGGCAUAAGCCAGCUUGACUGCGAGCGUGACGGCGCGAGCAGGUGCGAAAGCAGGUCAUAGUGAUCCGGUGGUUCUGAAUGGAAGGGCCAUCGCUCAACGGAUAAAAGGUACUCCGGGGAUAACAGGCUGAUACCGCCCAAGAGUUCAUAUCGACGGCGGUGUUUGGCACCUCGAUGUCGGCUCAUCACAUCCUGGGGCUGAAGUAGGUCCCAAGGGUAUGGCUGUUCGCCAUUUAAAGUGGUACGCGAGCUGGGUUUAGAACGUCGUGAGACAGUUCGGUCCCUAUCUGCCGUGGGCGCUGGAGAACUGAGGGGGGCUGCUCCUAGUACGAGAGGACCGGAGUGGACGCAUCACUGGUGUUCGGGUUGUCAUGCCAAUGGCACUGCCCGGUAGCUAAAUGCGGAAGAGAUAAGUGCUGAAAGCAUCUAAGCACGAAACUUGCCCCGAGAUGAGUUCUCCCUGAGACUUAGAGUCUCCUGAAGGAACGUUGAAGACGACGACGUUGAUAGG